CUGAGGGGAGAGACACUGCAGCCACCGCCAGGAGAAGCAGCAUGUAAAGACUCUGUGGGCUUCCAUUUGGCUGACUGAUACAUCCAGGCACUGGCUGCUGACAUCAACCUGUAAGACAUGGACUUGCUGAAAGCUGAUAUGUACCAAGCCAGGCAAUAUGAAUGCUUCUUGUUUCCAGCUGGAUCAAAUCAGAAGAUGGAUGGGCACAGAAGAACCUCAAUUGCUGCCAGGGCCUUCUUCAGACCAUGGACAACAGGACUAGGAACCCAUUGCCUCACUUUUGGCUAGACAAGCUAGGCUGGUCCGUCCCACAAGUUCCUACCCCACAACUGUCUCUAUUCCCACGAGGUAUGCACCUCCUCUCUCUCUCUCUCUCUCUCUCUCUCUCUCUCUCUC